rnacentral:misc_RNA from 1 species
AAGUCGUAACAAGGUUUCCGUAGGUGAACCUGCGGAAGGAUCAUUAAAGAGUUAGGGUCUCUACAGGCCCGAUCUCCAACCCUCUGUUGUUAUAACUAAAUCGUUGCUUUGGCGGGACCGCCCCUUAAAACGGGCUGCCGGUCUUCGGCCCGGCAAGUGCCCGCCAGAGUCAAACCAAACUCUUGUUUUUAACCGGUCGUCUGAGUAAAAAUUUAAUUAAAUUAAAA